AUUAAGUCCAUUUUCAGUUUUUAGAUAUAAUGUUUUGACUCCUUGUCUUAUUUGAAAUUAUUUUAUGAUUAAUAUUUUUGUUGUUACUAAAUGGUAAAAUAUGAACAAUACUUUAUGUGUAACUAUUUUUUUAAAGUUUUUUUAAAUAAGACGAAUGGUCAAACUUUGGACACAGAAAUCGAAAAAUAAAAUUAUU
rnacentral:pre_miRNA from 1 species